UGGAGAGUUUGAUCCUGGCUCAGNNCGACGCUGGCGGCGUGCUUAACACAUGCAAGUCGAACGGAAAGGCCCUUCGGGGUACUCGAGUGGCGAACGGGUGAGUAACACGUGGGCAAUCUGCCCUGCACACCGGGAUAAGCCUGGGAAACUGGGUCUAAUACCGGAUAGGACCACUUGGCGCAUGCCUUGUGGUGGAAAGCUUUUGCGGUGUGGGAUGGGCCCGCGGCCUAUCAGCUUGUUGGUGGGGUGACGGCCUACCAAGGCGACGACGGGUAGCCGGGCCUGAGAGGGUGUCCGGCCACACUGGGACUGAGAUACGGCCCAGACUCCUACGGGAGGCAGCAGUGGGGAAUAUUGCACAAUGGGGCGCAAGCCUGAUGCAGCGACGCCGCGUGGGGGAUCACGGCCUUCGGGUUGUAAACCUCUUUCACCAUCGACGAAGGUCCGGGUUGUCUCGGAUUGACGGUAGGUGGAGAAGAAGCACCGGCCAACUACGUGCCAGCAGCCGCGGUA
rnacentral:rRNA from 1 species